rnacentral:sRNA from 1 species
UUUUAGCCCGGAUUGCAGCGGAAAUCCUUUUUGAAAAAAAGAUUGCAGCGUAAAGCCGGAAACAGC